rnacentral:rRNA from 1 species
GAUGAACGCUAGCGGCAGGCCUAAUACAUGCAAGUCGAACGAUACCAGAGAGCUUGCUUUCUGGGAAAGUGGCGCACGGGUGCGUAACGCGUAUGCAACCUACCUUAAUCAGGGGGAUAGCCUCUCGAAAGAGAGAUUAACACCGCAUAACAUCAUGUUUCGGCAUCGGAGUAUGAUCAAAUAUUUAUAGGAUUAAGAUGGGCAUGCGUGACAUUAGCUAGUUGGUAAGGUAACGGCUUACCAAGGCUACGAUGUCUAGGGGAUCUGAGAGGAUGACCCCCCACACUGGUACUGAGACACGGACCAGACUCCUACGGGAGGCAGCAGUAAGGAAUAUUGGUCAAUGGAGGCAACUCUGAACCAGCCAUGCCGCGUGCAGGAAGACGGCCCUACGGGUUGUAAACUGCUUUUAUACGGGAAUAAACCUCUUUACGUGUAGAGAGUUGAAUGUACUGUAAGAAUAGGGAUCGGCUAACUCCGUGCCAGCAGCCGCCGUAAUAC